UUUAAUAACUUCGCAACGGCUCGACGGACUGCCGAAUCGACUUCCCCAACGCGUUCGUUUACCUAGCAAUUAGGUUUACGGAUGGUCAAAUGAGAUCAAACCCUACAAUUUUACAAAACUCCAUUUUGGAGCCCUAGGUUACAACUAUGCAAGAAAUCAUCAUUUUGGAACCUGAUUCAAGCAUUAAUCUUCUAAUUAGCAUCUAAGAAUGCUACUAAAUCCAUCUUUAGAGCUUAAAUGCAAAACCCUAGAGUUCUACCAUUAUAAACCUAGCCUCUACACAUGCUUCAAUUAACCCAAAUUAAAUGAAUUUAACAUGCUAAUCAACCCAUUAGAGGCUAUUAGAACACUAGGAAUUAAGGAUUAAGCCAAAUCCCAAGAGCUUACCCAAAUGUGAACACUGCGACGAAAACAAGCCGCUCCAACGGGCGCACGAAAGCUCGAUCCAUCGCCUCCAACGCGUUCGCAAGCUCGUUCUCUGCCAAUGCCGCGAAUUUGGGAGAGGGAUCUAGAGAGAUGAGAGAGAUAUUUAGAGAGAAGUGGAGCUUUCUCUCUCCCUCACCAUGGUCGCAUGGUGCUUG
rnacentral:lncRNA from 1 species